rnacentral:tRNA from 1 species
GCCGCCAUAGCUCAAUUGGUAGAGCAACUGAUUUGUAAUCAGUAGGUUGUAGGUGCGAGUCCUAUUGGCGGCUUA